GCCGGAAUAGCUCAGUUGGGAGAGCGUUAGACUGAAGUUGUUUACGCAACACUCAUCUAAAGGCCCCCGGUUCAAUCCCGGGUUUCGGCA
rnacentral:tRNA from 1 species